UAUUAUGGCACGUUAUUCUAGUCCAAGGACUUAUUAGGAAGACGGGAUUAAACAACCGUUAAGAGCAUAUCUGUGAAACCUUUGGUGUUUGCUUCUUGCGCCCAGCUUGGGGUGAGUGCUGAAGAUGAAAAGGUACUGGGCGACCGUAAUGGCAUACGGCACCCGACCCAUUGCCUGCUUGGAGACCUAGCCUUGUGAUUGGCCUAUACGGACAAUCCUGAUGGACCAGUUACGAACUAGGAUAGAACCUGUAUUGUGGCGAAAGUUAUGUGCAGUGUAGCUUGUCUUGAGUGAAGAUUUUGGGAUUAAUGUAAAUUAUGAAAUAGUCUUUGCAAAAAAGAACUAAUAAUAAGAAAUUGGUGAGGAAAUCUCCUAGAGCGAUAUAGCAUGGGAUUGCAGUGGAUACUAAGUGGCAAUCAAGUCAUACAAAUGGUGACAUUGUAUUAAUUCUUAUAAUGGGGAACCGCAUUUUUGGUAACGAAAGUGCAAGAAUUAGAGAAAUUCUACUUGACCUAAGAUUCAAAGUUUACCAUGCUAUGGCCAAAA
rnacentral:sRNA from 1 species